AUUGAACGCUGGCGGCAGGCCUAACACAUGCAAGUCGAACGAGCGGCGGACGGGUGAGUAAUGUCUGGGAAACUGCCUGAUGGAGGGGGAUCACUACUGGAAAAGGUAGCUAAUACCGCAUACAAUCAGAUGAGCCCAGAUGGGAUUAGCUAGUAGGUGGGGUAAUGGCUCACCUAGGCGACGAUCACUAGCUGGGCUGAGAGGAUGACCGUCCUCACUGGAACUGGGACACGUGCCAUACUCCUACGGUAGUCAGCAGUGGGUAAUAUUGCACUAUGGUCGCAAGCCUGAUGCAGCCAUGCCGCGUGUAUGAAGAAGGCCUUCGGGUUGUAAAGUACUUUCAGCUGGGAGGCGUUCCCCGCAGAAGAAGCACCGGCUAACUACGUGCCAGCAGCCGCGGUAAUUC
rnacentral:rRNA from 1 species